rnacentral:rRNA from 1 species
ACCGUGCGAAGGUAGCAUAAUCAUUUGUUUUUUAAUUGAAGACUAGUAUGAAAGGUUUAACGAAAAAUAAGCUUUUUUUUCUAUAAAUAUUAAAUUUAAAUUUUUAGUGAAAAUGCUAAAAUUUUUCAAAAAGACGAGAAGACCCUAUAGAGUUUUAUAUUAUUUUUAUUUUUGUUAAUUUUAUUUUAAAGAUGUAAGUUAAAAUAUAUAUUUAGUUGGGGCGAUAUUAAGAUAAAAUUAACUCUUAUUUAUAGAUACCUUUAUAAAGGGUUUAAGACUGAUCCUUUAAAAGAGAUUAUAAGAAAAAUUACCUUAGGGAUAACAGCGUAAUCUUUUUUAAGAGUUCUAAUCGACAAAAAGGUUUGCGACCUCGAUGUUGGACUAAAAUUUAUAUAUGGUGUAGCAGCUAUAUUUAAAGGUCUGUUCGACCUAUAAUAUUUUACAUGAUCUGAGUUCAGACCGGCGUGAG